GGACUUCGGCCUGCGAACGCCAGCUAGGCUACCUCGUAAGUUCUUAGACUGAAGUCAGCUCCCGAUCAAUACACUACUACAGUGGUCCAAAAGUUGAUCCGAUAUCGUGAUCUGUGAAAAAAGCACAGAAGUGUUGCAUCAGCACAACCGACCCCAUGUGAUGUAAGUGACCGGCCUAACCCCGGCGAAGUAGUGAUGAGGCUAGAUCCGACAACCAGGUAAACCUGUAUACAUAUGCAAUAUACUUUGUGGAAAAUAAACAGCAGAUAAACAGUUUAUAAAAGGAGGGGGAAACAUGUUGGCGGAACAACAGCUAUAAACAAGGAGUCUAAAUAAAGGUAAAUCCGCCAACAAAACUCAAGUCCGAAAAUAACACAUUUAUCCCAUACUUUGUUACGGUGCGCAACCCGAUCCAAUCGCUCUGUAACACUAUUGCGGCGUGCAACCCUAUCUAUACGCUUAUGGUAGUGUUGCGUGCGGCGUGAAACUCGAUCCAUAUGGAUAUUAUUUAUCCUUGUUUCGGUGUGCAACCCAAUCCGUGUGGAUAUUAUUUAUCCUUAUUGUGGCGCGCAACUCGAUCCGUGUGGAUAUCAUUUAUCCUAUUGCGACGCACAACCCGACCCACUAAGAUCAUACUUUCUCGUCUAAACAUCAUUCACAACUAUGGAGCAAGAGAAGAAUAACCAGUAAAUAAAUCCCAGCAAGGGAACAUAACAACACAACUAUCCUAGCAAGGGAGUAAAUCAACAACACCAAUAAAACCUCCCGGCAAGGGAGCAACAAUAAUAACCUUCACAUCCCGGCAAGGGAAUAACUACCACUCUUUCUCUUUUGAUCACUUCUUUCUCAAUUAUCAUAUUCUCGUUCGAGCCAAUGCUCCCAUAAGGUACAAAUCAUAAUUAUUCCUCAAACCUUUCACAUUAUACGAAACUUAUCAAUUAAAUAAGGAAGAGGUAUCACAAAAUCUGAAUAAACACAAUUAAGACUUCCUCAAACAUUUCACAUUAUAUGAAACUUAUCAAUUAAACAAAGAAGAGGUAUCACAAAGUCCGACUAAACACAAUUAAGACUCAUGGUCAUGUUAGACUCCUGUGUAGAUACUCGUCACCAUACCUAUACAUCGUACUCAGCAAUUAGCAAAUACCAAAUAACAUCCUAAUCCUAUUCCCUCAAGCCAAAAUUAGAACAAACACUUACCUCGAAUGCUCCAAACUCAACUCACUCCUCUAGUAUAGCUUUAUCCCUCAAAUUCACGACCAAACCAUUCUAAUCUAGUCACAAAUUGCCGGAAUGUAUUAACAAAUUCUACUUGAAUAAAUUUGAAUGCAUGAAAAUGAAUUUCUCAAAGUUUUACUCAAAAUCCCAAAAAUGCUCCCGGGCUCACGUGGUCAAAACCCGAGGUUCGGACUAAACCCGGUUACCCAUUCCCCCAUGAGCUCAGAUAUAUGAGUAUUUUGGAAACAGACCUCGAAUUGAGGUCUAAAACCCCCAAUUUUGGAAACCCUAGGCUCUACCCUAAAUUCCCAAAUUUUUCCAUUAAAAUAUUAGUUUUGAAGUUUAAAUUAUGUUUAAAUAUGCUAAGGAGUGAAGAAAAUAAGUUAGAAAUCACUUACCACUCGUUUUGAAGAAAGAGAAUCAUUUGGAAAAUCGCCUCAUAUGUUUUGGGUUUUGAAACACUGAAAAAUGGCUGUAUUAAAAUCUUAGUUUUGAAGUUGAAAUUACGUUUAAAAAUGUUAAGGAGUGAAGAAAAUAAGUUAGAAAUCACUUACCAAUCGUGUUGAAGAAACAUAAUCGUUUGGAAAAUCGCCUCUUAUGUUUUGGGUUUUGAAAAAGUGAAAAAUGCCUGAAAAUCCCGACUUUAUAUACUUUACUGAAUGCCAGCGUGGACGGCACAAAAAUGUACCGCGACUGCGCCGAGGAAGGGAAGAAAAUGACUCUCUGAACCUACCCAGCACGGACCGCACUAAUUUGGUACACGGCCGCGCUGGCCGACUUGGAACAUUACUGGCAUUCUAAACUUAUCCACGUGGACCGUGCAAAAAAGCACUGCGGCCGUACGGCUACCGGUGCGGACCGCGCGGAAAGGAUCACGACUGUGCUGAGGGCCUCUAACAGCUGGACCUGCAACAUCUGAUACUUUUAAAUCUAAUACCUCUCGGGACCUAUUCAAAACCCCGAGCCCUCGGGGCUCCAAACCAAACAUAUAUAUGAUCUCAAGAACAUCCUAUGGACUUACUUGUGCGAUCAAUCGCCAAAAUAACGUCAAAAUUAAUGAAUCAAGCCUCAAAAUCAUCAUUUUCAUUUCAAACUUCUUAAACUCCAAACUUUGGAUAUUUAGGUCUGAAAUACGUUAAACGACGUCCGAUUUCGACCAAAUUUCAGAGAAAGCGCUUAACACAUAUUUAAGACCUGUACCAAACACAGGAACCAAAAUACGGUCCCGAUACCUAUAUUUUCCAACUCAUUUUUAUUUCAAAUUUUUAUAUCAUUUUCAGAAAAAUAAUUUCUUUCAAAAAUUCAUUUCUAGGGCUCGGGACCUUGGUUUUCGAUUCCCGGAAUACGCCAAGUCCUAUUCUUUUCUACGGACCUCCUGGACUGUCACAUCAGGGGUCUGGGUCUGUUUACCCAAAAUGUUGACCAAACUCAACUUUAACAAUAUUAAUAUCAAAUUUCAUCAAAUUUAUCGCAUAAUUCAUAUUUUCUAACAUAAAAGCUUUCCGACUACGCGUCCGAACUGUGAAUACAAAUUGAGGCAAAUAAAAGCGAGGUUUUCAAAGCCUCGAAAGCACGGAAAAAGGGAGAAAUCCGGUGAUGGCCCUUUGGGUCGUCACAUUCUCCAACUCUAAAACAAUCGUUCGUCCUCGAACGGACAAAAGAAAGAAAUACCUGAGUUGGGAAAUAGAUGGGGAUAACGGCUCCGCAUAUUAGACUCGAAUUCCCAGGUCGAUGCCUCGGGAGACUGCCCUCUCCACUGAACAUGCACUGAAGGAAAAUGCUUUGACCUCAACUGUCGAACCUGCCGUCUAAAAUAGCCACCGGCGCCUCCUCAUAAGCCAAAUCCUUGUCCAAUUGGACAGUGCUGAAAUCAAACACGUGGGCAGGAUCAUCGUGAUACCUCUGAAGCAUGGUUACAUGAAAAACUAGAUGCAUGGCUGACAAGCUAGGCGGCAGGGCAAGUUUAUAAGCCAACUCUCCCACAUGCUCGAGAAUCUCAAAUAGACCGUUGAACCUAGGGCUAAGCUUGCCCUUCUUACCCAAUCGCAUCAUGCCCUUCAUAGGUGACACUCAGAGCAACACUCACUCACCAACCAUGAAAGCAAUAUCUCGGACCUUGCGGACUGCAUAACUCUUCUGCCUAGACUGAGCUAUCUGAAGUCUGUCCUGAAUGAUCUUGAACUUAUCCAAGGCCUCUUAAACUAGAUCUGUACCCAAUAACCGAGCCUCUCCCGGCUUAAACCAUCAAACUGGAGACCAAUAUCGCCUACCAUAAAACGCCUUAUACGGAGCCAUCUAAAUGUUGGACUGGUAGCUGUUGUUUAGGCGAACUCUUCUAAAGGCAAGAACUAGUCCCAUAAGCCUCCGAAAUCAAUGACACACGCUCGAAGCAUAUCCUCAAAUAUCGGAAUCGUCCGCUCAGAUUGUCCGUACGUCUAAGGAUGAAAUGUUGUGCUCAAUGUAACCUGGGUGCCCAACUCCUGCUGGACUGCUCUCUAGAAGCGCGAGGUAAAGUGCGUACCCUGGGCUGAAAUGAUAGAUACUGGCACCCUAUGAAGGCGAACAAUCUCUCUGAUGUAGAGUUCGGAUAACCUCUCUGAAGAAUAAGUGGCUGCAAGAGAAAUAAAGUGCGCGAACUUGGUCAGCCUAUCAACAAUGAACCAUAUAGCAUCAAACUUCUUCCGAGUCAUCGGAAUUCCAGUAACAAAAUCCAUAGUAAUCCUCUCCCACUUCCAUUCGGGAAGCUCAAUCCUCUGAAAUAAACAACCGGGCCCCUGAUGCUCGUACUUAACCUGCUGACAUUUCAAACAACAAGCCACAUGUGCAACAAUAUCUUUCUUCAUUUUGCGCCACCAAUAGUGCUACCUCAAAUCCUGAUAUAUCUUCGCGGCGUCCGAUGAAUAGAAUACGGAGAACUAUGGGCCUCUGCUAAGAUCAACUCCAGAAUACUAUCAACCUUGGGCACACAAACUCGUCCCUGCACUCUCAAUACACCAUCAUCUCUCAAGGUCACUAUCUUGGCACCUCCAGGCUGCACCAUGUCUCUCGGGACACACAAAUGGGUAUCAUCAAACUACCGAGUUCGGACACCGUGCAAGCUAACACCCUGCUAGGCUCAGAAAUAUCUAACCUCACAAAUCGAUUGGCAAAUGCCUGAACGUGCAAAGCAAGCGGUCUUUGGCUGGUCGAAAUAUAAGCAAGACUACCUAUGCUUGCCGACUUCCUACUCAAUGCAUCGCCACCACAUUAGCCUUCCCCGGGAGGCAUAAGAUAGUAAUGUCAUAGUCUUUCAGCAACUCCAACCACCUCAUCUACCGCAAAUGCAACUCCUUUUUCUUGAACAAGUAUUGAUGGCUGUUGUGAUCUGUGUACACCUCACGCAUCACACCAUAUAGAAAAAUCCUCCAAAUCUUCAAAACAUGAACAAUGGUUGCCAACUCUAGAUCAUGAACUGGGUAAUUCUUCUCGUGGAUCUUCAGCUGCCUUCAAACAUAGGCUAUGAAUUUUCCAUCCUGCAUCAAUACUGCGCCAAGCCCAAUGCGGGAAUCAUGACAAUAAAUGGUAUAAGGCCCUAAUCCUGUGGGCAAAACCAAUACCGGUGCCAUAGUCAGAGCUAUCUAAAGCCUCUGGAAGCUCGCCUCGCACUCUUCUGACCAUCUAAACUGGGCACCCAUCUAGGUCAAUCUUGUCAUCAGGGCUGCAAUGGAUGAAAAUCCCUCCAUGAACCGACAGUAGUAACCUGCUAAUCCUAAGAAACUCCGGAUCUCUGUAGCUGAUGCUGGGAGGCCAGUUCUUGACUACCUCAAUCUUCUUCGGGUCCACCUGAAUACCCUCAGCUGAAAUAAUAUGAUGCAGAAAUGCAACAUAACCCAACCAGAACUCGCACUUCGAAAACUUGGCGUAUAACUGACUAUCAUCCAGAGUGUGAAGAACCACUCUAAGGUACUGCUCAUGCUCCUCCUGAUUGCGGGAGUAUAUCAGAAUAUCAUCAAUGAAAACGAUUACAAACAAGUCCAAAUACAGCUCGGUUCAUCAACUCCAUAAAUGUUGCUGGGGCAUUGGCAAACCCAAAUGACAUGACCAAAAACUCAUACUACCCAUACCGAGUGCGAAAUGCUAUCUUAGGGACAUCAGACUCCCUAAUCCUAAGUUGAUGAUAACCAUAUCUCAAAUCUAUCUUUGAAAACACCGUACCCUGAAGCUGGUCGAAUAAAUCAUCGAUCCUCGGCAGUGGAUACAUGUUCUUUAUCGCCACCUUGUUCAAUUGUCGUUAAUCAAUGCACAUCCCAUCGACCCAUCCCUUUUCUUCACAAAUAACACCGGCGCACCCCAGGGCGAUACUCUGGGUCUGAUGAAAAUCUUUGCAAGCAAAUAUUGCAGCUGCUUCUUUAACUCCUUCAACUCUAGCGGGGCCAGACGAUAUGGUGGAAUGGAAAUUGGCUGCGUGCCCGAAGCCAAAUCAAUACAAAAUCAAUAUCUCUAUCAAGCGGCAUGCCCGACAGGUCUGAAUGGAAAACCUCGGGAUCUCCCGAACAAUAGGAACAUAAUCUAUAGAAGGAACCUCUGCGCUGGAGUCGCGAACAUAACCACUUCUCGAGCAUACGUCGAGCCUUAACAUAUGAAAUGACACUGUGAGCAGCAUGACCUGGGGUCCCUUUCCACUCUAGUCGGAGCAGUUCUGGCAAAGUCAAGGUCACGGUCUUGGCGUGACAAUCCAAGAUGGCAUGAUACAGGGAUAGCCAAUCCAUCCCCAAUAUAACAUUGAAGUCCGCCAUAUCUAAGAGGAAUAAGUCAACACGGGUCUCAAGACCCUAAAAUACUACCACAUAGGAACGAUGCACUCGGUCAACCACUAUAUAAUCACCCACCGGUGUAGAUACAUAAACAGGAACACUCAAAGCAUCACUAGGCAUAGCCAAGUAUGGUGCAAAGUAGAAUGACACAUAAGAAUAUGAAGACCCUGGGUCAAAUAGAACGGAAGCAUCUCUAUCACAGACAACAAUAGUACCUGUACUAACAACAUCAGAAGACUCAGCCUCUGGCCUGGUUGGCAAAGCAUAACACCGGGGCUAGGCCCCACCUCCCCAAACCAUGUCUUUGAGACGAUCGGCUACUGGCUGACCCCUACCUUUAGCGGUCUGAGCUCCACCUCUAUGCUCCCUACCUCCGCUUCUAUGACAUAUACCCCCGCCUCUAGCUGGAAGGGCGGCCUGUGGAGCCUCUGGUGCCUGGAUUAUAGCUCGAGAACCCUGCUGCGACUGUGUACUCCACUUAUAGCACCCGCCUGAAUGAUGCAACUGAGAUGGAUGAGAUUGUCCCUGCGGACCUGGAUAACCACCCUGAAAGCUCUGAAGUGGUGGUGCACUGAUAGGCUGCUGAGAACCACCACCACCACCUGAAGUACCAUGAGAGCCCUGGAGUGCUGACUGAAAGGGCCGCAGUGGAUGGCCUCUACCAUAAGAAUCCCUACCUUCAGAUGAGGUACCGUUGAACCUCCUAGAAUGACGAGGCUUCUUAUAUGACCCCUGACCACCUCCCCAUGCAAGAGUCAUCUCAACUCUAUGAUCCGCGUUGGCCGCCUCCUGAAAACAAAUCUCGCUCCCGGCUCAUAUAGCCAUCUGGAGAUGGAUCAGUUAAAUCAACACAUCAAUAAACCUCCGCACCCUCUCUCUAGGUGAAAGAAUAACAAUAGCAUGGCAUGCCAGAUUAAUAAAAUGGGUCUCAUAUUGCGUGACUGUCAUAGUACCUUGAUGGAUACGCUCAAACUGCCUACGUAGAGCCUUUCGCUCAGUCACUGGGAGAAACUUCUCCAAAAAUAAGUCUGCAAACUUGUCCUAAGUCAAUGAUGGCGACCUUGCUGGCCUGGAUAAACAAUAGUCCCUGCACCAAGUCUUGGCGGAUCCUGCUAGCUGAAAGGUGAAGAAGUCGACUCCAUUGGUCUCCACAAUACCCAUAGUCCGGAGAAGCUCAUGGCAGCUGAAUAAGAAGUCCCGGGGGUCCUAUGUAUGAGUACCGCCAAAUGCGGUGGUGAAGAGCUUGGUGAACCUAUCAAGCCUCCACAAAGCAUCAGCGGACAUCGCCGCACCAUCGCUGGUCUGAGCUGGAAUACCCGCCUAGGUUGCCACAGUUGUCUGAACUACUUGAAACUGAGCCUGAGGAGCUACCUGCUCCAGAGUACAUGUAGCAAGAGUCUGAACUCCUCCCCUAGCCUGAGAUGCUGGUGCUACAGGAAGCAAGCCCGCUCUAGAGAUGCUCUCCAUAAAGCCUACCAAUCGGACCAAAGCGUGCUGAAGCACUGAGUGGCUAUGAAACCCUUUGGGACCUGAGCUGGGCCCACCGGAGCUGCUAGAGCUGCAACCUACUCAUCAUAAUCAACAUGAAGCUCCACCUCUGGGACUGCUGCUUGGCCUCUAGCAUGGCCUUGGCCUCGCCCUUUGCCCCUCGUAGGAGCUACUGCUGAGGGCUCGGGCUACUGCACAAUAGAAGAAGAAGCACGUGUUCACACUAUCUGUGGAAGAAUAGAGUAGAAAGACAAUCAAUAUUUUAGGAACAGAAUCGCACAACAAGAAAGAACAUGGUGAAAUUUUUCCUAAUUCCGUAGCCUCUGGGAAUAAAUACAGACGUCUCCGUACCGAUCCCUUAAACUCUACCAAGUUUGUCCGUGAACUGUGAAACCUAUGUAACCUAGUGCUCUUAUACCAACUUGUCACAACCCAGAUUUUUUCACUCUCGGGAGUCGUGAUGGAACCUACUAACGGAUCUAGGCAAGCAAACAAUUAAACAUUUCCUUGAGAACAUUCGUAGAGUGCUACUAAAUAGUCUUAAUAGGAAAUACAUAAUAUAUGUCUCGGUACUAGAAAACAAAUUGAAAAUAUGAAAAGGGACUUCGGCCUACGAACACCAGCUAGGCUACCUCGUAAGUCCCUGGACUGAAGUCAACUCCCGAUCAAUACAUUACUGCUGUAAUCCAAAAGUUGUUCCGGUAUUGUAAUCUGUGCAAAAAGAACAGUAGUGUAGCAUCAAUACAACCGACCCCAUGUGCUAGUAAGUGCCCGACCUAACCCCGAAAAAGUAGUGACAAAGCUAGACCCGACUACCAGGUAAACCUGUACAGAUAUGAAAUAUACUUUGCGAAAAAUAAGCAGGAGAUAAGCAGUUUAUAAAAGGAGGGGAAAACAUGAUGUGAGAACAACAAUUAUAAAAAAGGAGUCUAAAUAAAGGUAAAUCAGCCAAUAAAACUCAAGUCCGGAAAUAACACAUUUAUCCUAUACUUGUUGCGGCGCGCUACCUGAUCAAUUCACUAUGCAACCCGAUCCACAUGCUUAUGGUAGUGUUGCGGCGUGCAACACGAUCCGUAUGGAUAUUAUUUAUCCUUAUUGUGGUGCGCAACCCGAUCCAUAUGGAUAUUAUAUACUUGGUUGCGGUGCGCAACCCGAUCCGUGUGGAUAUUAUUUAUACUUGUUGUGGCGUGCAACCCCACCCACUACGAUCAUACUUUCUCAUCCAAAUAUCAAUCACAAUUACCGAGCAAGAAAAGAAUAACCAGUAAAGAAAUCCCGACAAGAGAACAUAACUACACAACUAAAUCCCAGCAAGGGAGUAAAUCAACAACACCAAUAAAACCUCCUGGCAAGGGAGCAACAACAAUAACCUUCACAUCCCGGCAAGGAAAUAACUACCACACUUUCUCUUUUGAUCACUUCUUUCUCAAUUAUCAUAUUCUCAUUCGAGUCAACGCUCCCAUAAGGUACAAAUCAUAAUUCUUCCUCAAACCUUUCACAUUAUAUGAAACUUAUCAAUUAAACAAGGAAGAGGUAUCACAAAGUCCGAAUAAACAUAAUUAAGACUCACGGUCAUGCUAGACUCCAGUGUAUAGAUACUCCUCACCAUACCUAUACACCGUACUCAGCAAUUAGCAAAUAGCAAAUAGCAAAUAACAUUUUAAUCCUAUUUUCUCAAGCCAAAGUUAGAACAAACACUUACCUUGAAUGCUCUAAACUCGAAUCACUCUAGUAUAGCUUUGCCCCUCGAAUUUACCACCAAACCAUUCGAAUCUAGUCACAAAUUGCUAGGAUGCAUUAACAAAUGUUACUUGAAUCAAUUUGAAUGCAUGAAAAUGAAUUUCCCAAAGUUAUAUUAAAAAUUCCCAAAAUACCCAUGGGCUCACAUGGUCAAAACCCGAGGUUUGAACAAAAAACCGAUUACCCAUUCCCCAUGAGACAAGAUAUAUGAGUUAUUUAGGAAUCGAACCUUGAAUUGAGGUCUAAAACCCCUAAUUUUUGAAACCUUAGGUUCUACCCUAAUUUCCAAAAAUUUUCCAUUAAAAUCUUAGUUUUGAAGUUGAAAUUAUGUUUAAAGAUGUUAAGGAGUGGAGAAAAUAAGUUAGAAAUCACUUACCAAUCGUUUUGAAGAAAAAAGAAUCGUUUAGAAUAUCGCCUCUUAUGUUUUGGGUUUUGAAAAAGUGAAAAAUGAAUGAAAAUCCCGACUUUAUAUACUUCACUGAAGGUCGGUGCAGACCACACAAAAAUAAACGACGGCCGCGCCGAGGAAGGGAAGAAAAUGACUCUCUGUACCUACCCAGCGCGGACGGCACUAAUUUGGUGCGUGACCAUGCUGGCUGACCUGGAAUAUUACUGGCUCUCUACCUGCUUAAUUAAUGAUGAUGAGUCCUUAAACUUCAAAUGUGAUCACUAUUGGCGUUAACUAAUAUCAAUAAAGAUGACAGUAAUGUCAACAUGCUAAACCAGAUUGGAAAUGAAAUCAGAACAGACAUCAAAUGUACACUUCCAAACCAAUUACAAGUACCCUACUUUUAUAUUCCUAUCCAGUGUACCAUGAAACUAAUAUUAAAUCACAUUAUGUCUAUGCUAGCAAACAUCAAUUAAAAGCCUUAAGCAAUCCAAUUUAAAUCAGCUAGCAUGGGAGUUUAAGCAUUCUCUACUUCAUGACUACUAAAUGGAAUAAACAUCAAAUUCACAGUCAUAUAUACAGUCCGAUUUCCAGGUUCAUGCUUAAUUACAUUCAUGAAAUCGACUAAAUUAUACAAAAUCAUUCACUCGAAUAACAGUAUCAAACAAUAGAUCUAAAGUAACAACUUCAGUUCCAUUUCAUUUUCAUGCAGGGAAUCUACAUUGAAACAAGCUCAAAUGUAUACCUGGAUAAGGGAAAUAUGAGAAGAAAAAGAGGUAAGUAGUAACUUCGAACAGCCAUCAGCAAACACCACAGCAAUACGCCUUCAGAACUGAGCUUAAAUGCCUUUGGAAUUCCACCAAGGUACAAUAACCAGAAAAAUCAACUCGAGCAGACCCAAACCUAUUCAACUAGUCAUUAAAUACCUCUAAAAUGCUUUUAAAACUCGAAAUUAGAUCAGAAAUGGAGAAGUCCAAAUAGGAAUUGAAAAUGAACAAGCUAAGUAAUGGAACAGUAAGCCUUUUUUGAUUUUUUGUUUGUUUUCUAAUUUUUUUUUUUUGAAUAACUGAAUUUCAAACUUGGAUCUGAAAUCUAAAAUGGAGGGGGAGCUAUUGGAAGAGACUGUUUUUUACCGUUCCAAAAGAGACCCCUUCACCAAGGCAUUUGAGUGCCCUUUUAUAGGCACCAAAGAGGUGAGCAAUCAAAUUUUGGAUUUUUCUUAUAGUCCCUCCCUAUUUUCAACUAUUAAACCCCUUAUUUGUUGACUUGUGACUCAAGCAGGUAUACUCAUUCUCUGAGAUUCUAAUUCUACACCCUCUCCAGAAGCUUAUGACGUAUUUUAGCUAAAGUCCAUACCCAUACAUUCCCCAAUUGCCAUUAGUUUAUCCUAAAAUUACUAGUUUAGUACAACUACUCCCAAACCAAUCCUAGGAUAUGAAUUUCAACUAAAAAAACGUACUCCUAAUUCAAUUAUUAACUAACCUAUCUAUUAAAACCAUUUAACAGCAACAAUCUUCAAAAUUAAUCACAAACUGAAACUUAAUCGGAAUAAACGAUAUUUAAAUGUUCAUUAACUAACAGACUCAUAAGUCGUCAAACAGAAAAAUUAAGGCAAAACCAACCAUUAAUCGAAAAAUAAACCAACACCUAUAAAAUAAGAUGACUCAGCAAAUAAGAACGAAUUUAAAACGGGCUUGAAGAAACUUAAUGACUUUCGGAUUAAUAAUUAUUACUAAACAAUUCUAAAAAACCAAACUGUCAUGCAAAGCAAAAAUCAACAGCAAGAAAAAUAAAGAAAAGAAACUAGUGAACUUACUGGCUUAUCUUCAGGAAACCAAUCAAUUUUCAAAGAUCGCAUUCAGCCAACUCCGGUAAAAAUUUGCCCCUAAUGGUAACAAAUUCCUCAUGAGGGAAGCCUAGAGACCCAAUGGUAUCAAUUUUGAGCGAUUUAGGGCAGUUAGGGUUUUGAGUUUAAAAUUGAUAUUCGAACAUUACCGGCCAUGUUCGAGGGACGAGGUUAGGGGGUUGGGUAGAGGAGGCUCAGCAAUCUAAUGGUGUUAAUUUGGUUGAUUUGGAUGAAGUUGCGUCGUGGCCGGAAAAACUUCGAUCCGAUAUUUGAAGCUUUUGACCGUGAUUUGAAGUAAAUGAUUGGUUAUGGAUUUGGGAUGAGGGGAGUCAAGAGUGUUAUCUUUGGGUCGAUUGGAGACGGUGGUGUUCGCCGGCGGUGGCGGUUCCGGCAGAGUCGCAGAGAAGGUACGAGGAAGGAGGAGAUUGUCUUAAGGUUAAAAAA
rnacentral:lncRNA from 1 species